AGAGUUUGAUCCUGGCUCAGGACGAACGCUGGCGGCGUGCCUAAUACAUGCAAGUCGAGCGAGCGGAACCAACAGAUUUACUUCGGUAAUGACGUUGGGAAAGCGAGCGGCGGAUGGGUGAGUAACACGUGGGGAACCUGCCCCUAAGUCUGGGAUACCAUUUGGAAACAGGUGCUAAUACCGGAUAAUAAAGCAGAUCGCAUGAUCAGCUUUUGAAAGGCGGCGUAAGCUGUCGCUAAGGGAUGGCCCCGCGGUGCAUUAGCUAGUUGGUAAGGUAACGGCUUACCAAGGCGACGAUGCAUAGCCGAGUUGAGAGACUGAUCGGCCACAUUGGGACUGAGACACGGCCCAAACUCCUACGGGAGGCAGCAGUAGGGAAUCUUCCACAAUGGACGCAAGUCUGAUGGAGCAACGCCGCGUGAGUGAAGAAGGUUUUCGGAUCGUAAAGCUCUGUUGUUGGUGAAGAAGGAUAGAGGUAGUAACUGGCCUUUAUUUGACGGUAAUCAACCAGAAAGUCACGGCUAACUACGUGCCAGCAGCCGCGGUAAUACGUAGGUGGCAAGCGUUGUCCGGAAUUAAUGGGUGUAAAGGGAGCGCAGGCGGGAGCGCAAGUUGGAUGUGAAAUACCGCAGCUUAACUGCGGAGCUGCAUCCAAAACUGUGUUUCUUGAGUGAAGUAGAGGUAGGCGGAAUUCCGAGUGUAGCGGUGAAAUGCGUAGAUAUUCGGAGGAACACCGGCGGCGAAGGCGGCUACCUGGUCUGUAACUGACGCUCAGGCACGAAAGCGUGGGGAGCAAAUAGGAUUAGAUACCCUAGUAGUCCACGCCCUAAACGAAGAAAACUAAGUGUUGGAAUAAUUCAGUGCUGCAGUUAACACAAUAAGUUCUCCGCCUGAGGAGUAUGCACGCAAGUGUGAAACUUAAAGGAAUUGACGGGGGCCCGCACAAGCGGUGGAGUAUGCGGUUUAAUUCGAUGCAACGCGAAGAACCUUACCAGGCCUUGACAUCCCCUGCAAUACUAUAGAGAUAUAGUGGAGGUUAUCAGGGUGACAGGUGGUGCAUGGUUGUCGUCAGCUCGUGUCGUGAGAUGUUGGGUUAAGUCCCGCAACGAGCGCAACCCUUGUUACUAGUUGCCAGCAUUCAGUUGGGCACUCUAGUGAGACUGCCGGUGACAAACCGGAGGAAGGUGGGGACGACGUCAGAUCAUCAUGCCCCUUAUGACCUGGGCUACACACGUGCUACAAUGGACGGUACAACGAGUCGCGAACUCGCGAGGGCAAGCUAAUCUCUUAAAACCGUUCUCAGUUCGGACUGCAGGCUGCAACUCGCCUGCACGAAGUCGGAAUCGCUAGUAAUCGCGGAUCAGCAUGCCGCGGUGAAUACGUUCCCGGGCCUUGUACUCACCGCCCGUCAA
rnacentral:rRNA from 1 species